rnacentral:rRNA from 1 species
AACGAACGCUGGCGGCGUGCUUAACACAUGCAAGUCGAACGCGAAAGGGGCUUCGGUCCUGAGUAGAGUGGCGCACGGGCGAGUAACGCGUAGAUAACCUGUCCUGGUGUCUGGAAUAACGUCUCGAAAGGGGCACUAAUACCGGAUAUUCUUGCUUUCUUCAAGGUAUGCAAGGAAAGGUGGCCUCUGGAACAAGCUACCGCACGAGGAGGGGUCUGCGUACCAUUAGCUAGUAGGUGGGGUAAUGGCCUACCUAGGCGACGAUGGUUAGCGGGUCUGGGAGGAUGGGCCGCCACACGGGCACUGGAAUACGGGCCAGACUCCUACGGGAGGCAGCAGUGAGGAAUAUUGCGCAAUGGGGGCAACCCUGACGCAGCGACGCCGCGUGAGUGAGGAAGGCCUUCGGGUCGUAAAGCUCUGUCAAGAGGGAAGAAGUGCAUGGUGGUUAAUAUCUGUCAUGUUUGACGGUACCUCUAAAGGAAGCACCGGCUAACUCCGUGCCAGCCGCCGCCGUAAGAC